rnacentral:lncRNA from 1 species
CUUCAGGUCAUCGCUUGCUCUCGUUCCCAGGCUUUGGCUUCUAGUGGACGAGAAUCACCGAGUCUGCGGGGCUGGAUGCUGACCGCCCGGACCAGCACCUAGGCGGGCGGGAGCUGUGCGGCCCAGGGUUCGCGCGGGCCGGGUAGAGGCUCGAGCUGGGACCCCCGAGCGUGAACCCCGGAGCCGGCGGCGCUGGGGCCAGAGGGGCCGGGAGCCCCAGGGAGGCGGAUCUGGGCCCCGAGAAGGACACCCGCCUGGAUUUGCCCCGUAGGCCCGGCCCGGGCCCCUCGGGAGCAGAACAGCCUUGGUGAGGUGGACAGGAGGGGACCUCGCGAGCAGACGCGCGCGCCAGCGACAGCAGCCCGCCCCGGCCUCUCGGGAGCCGUGGGGCAGAGGCUGCGGAGCCCCAGGAGGGCCGGAGCCCUCAUGACUUCAGUGACCUGCUUCUGCCCCUCUAGGUCUAUCAGCCACAGUCUCUGCAUGUUUCCAAGAGCAGCAGAAAAUGAACACAUUGCAGGGGCCAGUGUCAUUCAAAGAUGUGGCUGUGGAUUUCACCCAGGAGGAGUGGCGGCAACUGGACCCUGAUGAGAAGAUAACAUACGGGGAUGUGAUGUUGGAGAACUACAGCCAUCUAGUUUCCUUGGCUUAUGAGGUGGCAACAUCUUGUACUUCGGAGAUUCUGAAGCCGAGCAACUUGCCCAAGUCCUUCUUCUUUUCCCAUUAACAAGAUAUGAUAUCACCAAGCCAAACGUCAUCAUUAAGUUGGAGCAGGGAGAGGAGCUGUGGAUAACGGGAGGUGAAUUUCCAUGUCAACAUAGUCCUGGGAUCGUGGGACUUUACCAGAUCGGUUUGUAAUAACACCUCGAAGACGCUAUCCGAUCCAUCAGACCCAGUAUUCCUGUCCGGGGGUACUUCCCACAGUGUGCUGGAAUGGUUAUCACAAGAAGGCUGUGCUGUCCCCUCGCAACUCCAGGAUGGUGUGUAGCCCAGUGACUGUGAGGAUCGCCCCUCCUGACAGAAGAUUUUCACGUUCUGCGAUACCAGAGCAGAUAAUCAGCUCAACACUGUCGUCACCAUCAAGUAAUGCCCCAGACCCAUGUGCAAAGGAGACUGUACUGAGUGCCCUCAAAGAGAAGAAGAAGAAAAGGACAGUGGAGGAAGAAGACCAAAUAUUCCUUGAUGGCCAGGAAAAUAAAAGAAGGCGCCAUGAUAGCAGUGGCAGUGGACAUUCAGCAUUUGAGCCCCUGGUGGCCAGUGGAGUCCCCGCUUCUUUUGUGCCUAAGCCUGGGUCUCUGAAGAGAGGCCUCAAUUCUCAGAGCUCAGAUGACCACUUGAAUAAGAGAUCCCGAAGCUCUUCCAUGAGCUCCUUGACAGGCGCUUACACAAGUGGCAUCCCUAGCUCCAGCCGCAAUGCCAUUACCAGUUCCUACAGCUCCACUCGAGGCAUCUCACAGCUGUGGAAGAGAAAUGGCCCCAGUUCAUCACCCUUCUCUAGCCCAGCCUCAUCCCGCUCCCAGACACCGGAGAGGC